UCAACUGGACUCGCGAAGCUUGGAUAUCAAUACGUCAACAUCGAUGAUUGCUGGGCUGAGCACGACCGUGACUCCCAGGGAUACCUAGUGGCCAACGGAAGAACAUUUCCAUCAGGAAUCAAAGCUCUUGCAGAUUAUGUGCACAGCAAGG